UGGGGAAUUUUGGACAAUGGGCGAAAGCCUGAUCCAGCAAUGCCGCGUGUGUGAAGAAGGCCUUCGGGUUGUAAAGCACUUUUGUCCGGAAAGAAAUCCUUGGCUCUAAUACAGUCGGGGGAUGACGGUACCGGAAGAAUAAGCACCGGCUAACUACGUGCCAGCAGCCGCGGUAAUACGUAGGGUGCAAGCNUUAAUCGGAAUUACUGGGCGUAAAGCGUGCGCAGGCGGUUUGCUAAGACCGAUGUGAAAUCCCCGGGCUCAACCUGGGAACUGCAUUGGUGACUGGCAGGCUAGAGUAUGGCAGAGGGGGGUAGAAUUCCACGUGUAGCAGUGAAAUGCGUAGAGAUGUGGAGGAAUACCGAUGGCGAAGGCAGCCCCCUGGGCCAAUACUGACGCUCAUGCACGAAAAGCGUGGGGAGCAAAACAGGAUUAGUACCCUGGUAGUCCACGCCCUAAACGAUGUCAACUAGUUGUUGGGGAUUCAUUUCCUUAGUAACGUAGCAACGCGUGAAGUUGACCGCCUGGGGAGUACGGUCGCAAGAUUAAAA
rnacentral:rRNA from 1 species